rnacentral:rRNA from 1 species
CCAGUGACUUUGUUCAACGGCCGCGGUAUNCCUAACCGGGGAAGGUAGCGUAAUCACUUGUUCUUUAAAUGAGGACUAGUAUGAAUGGCCCCACGAGGGCUGCACUGUCUCCUUUUUCUAAUCAAUGAAACUAAUCUCCCCGUGAAGAAGCGGGAAUUGUCCUAUAAGACGAGAAGACCCUAUGGAGCUUUAAACAAUUGAAACAUUUGCUUUUCUCCUAACUCCUCCCGAGCUCUUUAUUUUUAUUUAAGCAUUAUUAUUUCUAGUUUUAGGUUGGGGUGACCACGGAGCAAAACUAAACCUCCAUGAAGAAAUGAAUAUUUUUAAGCCACAAACUACUUUUUUAAGCAUCAACAAAUUGACCUUCAUUGACCCAAUAUAUUGAUCANCGAACCAAGUUACCCUAGGGAUAACAGCGCAAUCUACUUCAAGAGCUCAUAUCGACAAGUAGGUUUACGACCUCGAUGUG